rnacentral:lncRNA from 1 species
AGUGGCGUCGUGUUGCGUUUCAGUGAUUGAGCGGCGUCGAUGAGAAGCACACCAGACACCGGUGGUGCUGUCGUCCUGUUGAACCUUUCAACAUGACGAUGAGAAAGGAGUUGAACCUUUUUAUAAAAAAUUCUCUUUCGCAUGUUAUUGAAGCUUGAUAAGAGAAGUGAACUUUGCUCGCUCUGCACGCCGCGCCGCGCGAUCGAGCUGAACUUGUACCUACGCGUUUAUGUUUGCUGGUCGGGAAUAAAAAAAA